GGCGAGGUAGCUCAGAUGGUUAGAGCGUUGGAUUCAUAACCCAAAGGUCGGCGGUUCAAUUCCGCUCCUCGCUA
rnacentral:tRNA from 1 species